CCUACGGGGGGCUGCAGUGGGGAAUAUUGGACAAUGGACCGAGAGUCUGAUCCAGCAAUUCUGUGUGCACGAUGAAGUUUUUCGGAAUGUAAAGUGCUUUCAGUUGGGAAGAAAGAAAUGACGGUACCAACAGAAGAAGUGACGGCUAAAUACGUGCCAGCAGCCGCGGUAAUACGUAUGUCACGAGCGUUAUCCGGAUUUAUUGGGCGUAAAGCGCGUCUAGGUGGUUAUGUAAGUCUGAUGUGAAAAUGCAGGGCUCAACUCUGUAUUGCGUUGGAAACUGUAUAACUAGAGUACUGGAGAGGUAAGCGGAACUACAAGUGUAGAGGUGAAAUUCGUAGAUAUUUGUAGGAAUGCCGAUGGGGAAGCCAGCUUACUGGACAGAUACUGACGCUAAAGCGCGAAAGCGUGGGGAGCGAACGGGAUUAGAUACCCGAGUAGUC
rnacentral:rRNA from 1 species